rnacentral:rRNA from 1 species
AUUGAACGCUGGCGGCAGGCCUAACACAUGCAAGUCGAGCGGGGUUUUCGGACCUAGCGGCGGACGGGUGAGUAAUGCGUAGGAAGCUACCCGAUAGAGGGGGAUACCAGUUGGAAACGACUGUUAAUACCGCAUAAUGUCUACGGACCAAAGUGUGGGACCUUCGGGCCACAUGCUAUCGGAUGCGCCGACGUGGGAUUAGCUAGUUGGUGAGGUAAUGGCUCACCAAGGCGACGAUCCCUAGCUGGUUUGAGAGGAUGAUCAGCCACACUGGAACUGAGACACGGUCCAGACUCCUACGGGAGGCAGCAGUGGGGAAUAUUGGACAAUGGGCGCAAGCCUGAUCCAGCUAUGCCGCGUGUGUGAAGAAGGCCUUCGGGUUGUAAAGCACUUUCAGUAGGGAGGAAGCGUUGUGUGUUAAUAGUACACAGCGUUGACGUUACCUACAGAAGAAGCACCGGCUAACUCUGUGCCAGCCGCCGCGGUAAGAC